rnacentral:tRNA from 1 species
GUUUUAUGAGGUAGGUAGUUUAUAAUUGAUUUGCAAUCAAUUGAUAUGGUAAUCCAUACUUAUGA